rnacentral:tRNA from 1 species
GGAAGUGUGCCCGAGUACCAAGGACUACUUUGAUAGAGUAAGCACAGAGAUAAACCUCUCUCUUCCCA